UUCUUCAAUCUCUAUUGCAACCAAGUUUUCUCAUGUUUAGAGUUCUAGAUCUUUGUUUCUAUGUUCCUCUAUUUGUAUGUAUUUCUUUUCUAAUAUAUUUUUAUGCAUUUCUCAUCUAAAACAUGUUUUCAUAUAUUUGUUUAGAGUUCUAGAUCUGAGUUCAAAAUGAUAUUUCUCCGUGUGUCUUUUCAAGUAAAUCUUUGUCUAAUAUUUUGAAAUGUAUGAGUUUAUUUGAAAAGACAAGUUUAAACUUAUCAUUUAUGUGUUUAUUAUGUAUUAAAAUGAUUGUUUCAAAUGUGUCUUUGAAUAUCUUCAAUUAAUUGAUUUUGAUUAUUCACUUGUGGGUUGAUUUAUGUGUUUAUUAUGUCUUUUGUGGUAAUGGGAAGAAAGAAUGAAUAUUGACCUGUUUGAUACUGUUACGAAAUCGAUCUAUGCAAGUGUGAGAGAGUCAAUCAUUGGUAAAACCAAAACCACCGAGAAGGCAGACCGAAUUAACCGUUGAGCAUCUAUGAGGAGGCAAUGUCAUAACAAAACAUGAAUGUUGGUCUCUGCUAAAAGGUGGCAUAGUUGUAGACUUUUCAAGUCCUGUUGAAAUCUUUUUGAGGUGAAAUGAUUCUUUUUUUGCAUAAUUAGAGAGUUAAACAAAAGGGUGCAAGUGGUUGUAUUUAUGUAUUUAGAUAUUUGUUAAAUAGAAUCAUAUUGGUUGUAGGUAUCAAAUAUUAGUUUUGUUUUGUUCAUAUUUAAGUUAAAAUUGACAUCUUUUAUUUUAAGUAUUAAUUUAAAAUUGAUA